ACUUAGCAUAUCAAUAAGCGGAGGAAAAGAAACCAACAGGGAUUGCCCCAGUAACGGCGAGUGAAGCGGCAACAGCUCAAAUUUGAAAUCUGGCCCUCGGGCCCGAGUUGUAAUUUGGAGAGGAUGCUUCUGGCGCGGCGCCGUCCGAGUUCCUUGGAACAGGACGCCAUAGAGGGUGAGAGCCCCGUACGGGCGGCCGCCUAGCCUUUGCGAAGCUCCUUCGACGAGUCGAGUAGUUUGGGAAUGCUGCUCAAAAUGGGAGGUAAAUUUCUUCUAAAGCUAAAUACCGGCCAGAGACCGAUAGCGCACAAGUAGAGUGAUCGAAAGAUGAAAAGCACUUUGAAAAGAGGGUUAAAAAGUACGUGAAAUUGUUGAAAGGGAAGCGCCUGUGACCAGACUUGCGGCCCGCGGAUCAUCCGGUGUUCCUCACCGGUGCGCUCCGCGGGCCGCAGGCCAGCAUCGGCUCUCCUGGGGGGACAAAGGUCGCGGGAACGUGGCUCCUUAGGGAGUGUUAUAGCCCGCUUCGUCAUGCCUCCGGGGGGGCCGAGGACCGCGCUUCGGCAAGGAUGCUGGCGUAAUGGUCACCGGCGACCCGUCUUGAAACACGGACCAAGGAGUCAAGCAUUGGGGCGAGUGUCUGGGUGCCAAACCCGCACGCGAAAUGAAAGUAAACGCAGGUGAGAGCUUCGGCGCAUCACCGACCGAUCCUGAUGUCUUCGGAUGGAUUUGAGUAAGAGCCUUACCGCUUGGACCCGAAAGAUGGUGAACUAUGCCUGUAUAGGGUGAAGCCAGAGGAAACUCUGGUGGAGGCUCGCAGCGGUUCUGACGUGCAAAUCGAUCGUCAAAUAUGGGCAUGGGGGCGAAAGACUAAUCGAACCAUCUAGUAGCUGGUUACCGCCGAAGUU
rnacentral:rRNA from 1 species